ensembl:lncRNA
CUUGUUUUGGUUUGUUCGCUUCCUGUUUAGACAUUGGCUUAUGUGCGAGGGUAUAGCUUAAUUUGAGCCAGGUGUCCAUGUUUAGCUUGAUUAUGUUGAUUAUUUAAACCCCUCGGUGACUGCACACUUUGCGCAGUCUUAUACUUUGUACCAAAUGUCUGACGAUAGUGAACGCAUUAGCAUGCUAAGCGGUCUUAGUGUCAUGUUUGAAGCCAGAUUUGGCUAGACCGUGUUUCCUUGUGUUUGGUUGCUUGCUUGGUUUAUCAAUAAAGACUUUGCUCUACACCUGCAUCCGCUUCCAGUCCCGUUCCGUGACAUAAUACUGCGCCCCGAGCAUGGAAGCAGCAGAUCAACGUGAGCACCGAGUUCGAGAAGUUGGGCCGAUCGUUCUGGGAAGAGAGUAAGCGUAUCGACAAAAGACUUGCCCAGAUCGAUCGCCAGCUAAUGCAACGAGGGCUGCUGCAGCAAGCCGGCCCAUGCGCCAUAUCGCCACCCGCGCAAUUUCCCACGUCCCGGCUGCCGGAGAGUUAUGCCGUGCCGCGUGGGUAACAGAGCUACUCGAACUCCUGGAGCUUCCCACUUUAGGGGAAUUAUACUACGCCAUGCAGCCAGUAAAGAUACCCGUCCUCCUGGAGCCUCCCACUGCAGGGGAAUUGCACCACGCUGCCCAGCCCAGAACCGAAGGCUAGCCUAGAACUUAUUUUGGGUGGGGGUCAAUGACGACAGCAGAGCUCCAGCGUGAGGCCUAUGGGGAGGCCUCAGCUGUGGAGCUCCCGCCUGAGGUCAACAUGGCAACCUCAGAGCUACAGCUUGAGGCCUACGGGGAGGUCUCUGCUGUGUAGCUCCUGCACGUCAAAGAAGCUGUCCCGCCGCCCUGCCCUAAGAUCGUGCUCGUUCAUUCAGAUUCCUGUCAUUUAGAGAGUCUUGUGCUGGCCGUGUGCGGAUCUUGCGAUCGCAAAACUCUUGGCCUCUAGACAGAGGACAGGAGUGAAACCCUGCAGCAUCACCAGCUCCCUUGUGGAAACACUGAAGACCUCUACACUAGAAGUGUGCACCGGAACGAAGAUCUUGC